rnacentral:rRNA from 1 species
AAUAUUGCACAAUGGGCGCAAGCCUGAUGCAGCCAUGCCGCGUGUAUGAAGAAGGCCUUCGGGUGUAAAGUACUUUCAGCAGUGAGGAAGGUGGAUAUGUUUAAUAGCAUAUUCAUUUGACGUUAGCUGCAGAAGAAGCACCGGCUAACUCCGUGCCAGCAGCCGCGGUAAUACGGAGGGUGCGAGCGUUAAUCGGAAUUACUGGGCGUAAAGCGCAUGCAGGUGGUUUGUUAAGUCAGAUGUGAAAGCCCGGGGCUCAACCUCGGAAUUGCAUUUGAAACUGGACAAACUAGAGUACUGUAGGAGGGGGUAGUAAUUUCAGGUGUAGCGGUAGAAAUGCGUAGAGAUCUGAAGGAAUACCGGUGGCGGAAGGCCGGCCCCCGUGGACAGAUACUGACACUCAGAUGCGAAAGCGUGGGGAGCAAACAGGAUUAGAUACCCUGGUAG